AUUCUAGGAUCACCAAUGGAAUCAAUAAGCUUUUACCUGUAGGGGAUAAAUCCUGGAAGAAUUCUAGAGUUUGAAACUGUCUGGACCAUUUGAAGCAGCAUCUCAGAGGGAUCAGAGCUGAUGAAUACUCAGUCAGAAGAAAUGCAGGCCUGCAGGUUUGUCCACAAAGUGUUCCCAUCAACCGUGCCUGGAGCAAGUUAGUGAAUAUUAAUGUUUAGCACAUUAUAAGGCUCUACAAGUACUCUGAUGUUGGAGGCCAAGGGGGAGAUAAACGAGCAAGGACGGCUCUCUCAAAUGUUACUGUCUAUAUGAAUCCACCUUGGGAUAUUAGUAAAAUGAGUUUCUGAUACAGAAGAUCUAGAAAGCGCCUGAAAUGCUGAUAUUCUGUCUCCCAGGUGGAGGAGUUCAGCUAUUACCUUGACUUUGCCGAAGUCCUAGGCACUCCCAUGCCCUCAGAGUCUCAUUUUGAAUCCAGGCACUUAGGGAUGCUAUUUUUCCACAUCAAACAGCUUCCUCCCAGCCAAAGAAUUCUGGUGACAGUAGUGAAGAUAAUUUUCACUCCUGCUUACAGAAUGACAAAGCAAAAGCAAAGAGGAGAAGAAUGAAGUAAAGACAACCAAAGGAAAAGACUGAUGGCUCCUUAAGAAUGAUCUUGAUAAAGGAAUGGUGGCUGAGGGGUCCAUCUCCUAAACCACCCACCUUACUGACUCCCUAGAGCAAUGCCAUACAGAAAGCUGCACCUUGAGGGGAAGACACAAGAAUCCUGGAGUGGAAAAAAAUUGGGUAAUGAUGACAGCCUUCGAGGUCUUGAGAGUAAAGCAGAAGCAAAAAAAAAGUGUUAUUUUUAUCUUUUGAAGAUGGUUCCCUCUUAAGACUUUUGCGAAUGAUUAAGAUUUCAAUUAUGUUCCAGGAAAAAAAUAAGAUUUUUGCUUGACAAAAAAAAUUUUUGUCUAGAACAGGUGGGAAGGAAGAGAUAGUUUAGCCACAUCCAAGAGACCUGUAAAUUGGGUACAGUGAAGUGAAUGGUGUACCAGUCAUAAAAGAAUGUUAACUGGAGAAGUCUCUGCUGUCUUCCUGUAACUGAGGGGGGUGUAACCAUCCUUGUGGAAGCGUCCACUUUUAUUGAAGAUU
rnacentral:lncRNA from 1 species